UGCUAUGGCCAUGCCACCCUGAGUAAGCCCGAUCCUGUCUGAUUUCGGAAGCUAAGCAGCAUCGGGCCUGAUUAGUACUUGGGAUGGGAGACCACCUAGGAAGACCAGGUGCUGUAGGCG
ensembl:rRNA 5S_rRNA 5S ribosomal RNA